rnacentral:snRNA from 1 species
AGCUUUGCACAGUGGCAGUAUCGUAGCCAAUGAGGUUUAUCUGAGGUGUGAUUAUUGCUAAUUGAAUAUACAUCCAGAAGUGGGGUAGCUGAGUCAUAUGCUAUAUGUACUUUUAUUUUUUGAAGGGCUUCCAUACC